GACAGAGGGUGCAAACGUUGUUCGGAAUCACUGGGCGUAAAGCGCGUGUAGGCGGCACGGCAUGUCGGAUGUGAAAUCCCAUGGCUCAACCAUGGAAGUGCACCCGAAACUGCCGAGCUCGAGUCUCGGAGAGGAAGGUGGAAUGCUCGGUGUAGAGGUGAAAUUCGUAGAUAUUAGGAAGAACACCAGUGGCGAAGGCGGCUCACUGGCCCGGUACUGACGCUGAGGCGCGAAAGCGUGGGGAGCAAACAGG
rnacentral:rRNA from 1 species